AGAGUUUGAUCCUGGCUCAGAAUCAACGCUGGCGGCGUGCCUAACACAUGCAAGUCGCACGAGAAAGGGUCUUCGGAUCUGAGUAAAGUGGCGCACGGGUGAGUAACACGUGAAUCAUCUACCUUCGAGUGGGGAAUAACUGAGAGAAAUCUUAGCUAAUACCGCAUAAUACCUACGGGUCAAAGCAGUAAUGCGCUUGGGGAGGAGGUCGCGGCCGAUUAGCUAGUUGGCGGGGUAAUGGCCCACCAAGGCGAUGAUCGGUAUCCGGCCUGAGAGGGCGCACGGACACACUGGAACUGAAACACGGUCCAGACUCCUACGGGAGGCAGCAGUGGGGAAUUUUGCGCAAUGGGGGAAACCCUGACGCAGCAACGCCGCGUGGAGGAUGAAGUAUCUUGGUACGUAAACUCCUUUCGAUGGGGAAGAUAAUGACGGUACCCAUAGAAGAAGCCCCGGCUAACUUCGUGCCAGCAGCCGCGGUAAUACGAGGGGGGCAAGCGUUGUUCGGAAUUAUUGGGCGUAAAGGGUGCGUAGGCGGUUUGGUAAGUCUAGUGUGAAAUCUUCGGGCUCAACUCGAAGUCUGCACUGGAAACUGCCGGGCUUGAGUAUGGGAGAGGUGAGUGGAAUUUCCGGUGUAGCGGUGAAAUGCGUAGAUAUCGGAAGGAACACCUGUGGCGAAAGCGGCUCACUGGACCAUAACUGACGCUGAUGCACGAAAGCUAGGGGAGCAAACAGGAUUAGAUACCCUGGUAGUCCUAGCCCUAAACGAUGAUUGCUUGGUGUGGCAGGUACCCAAUCCUGCCGUGCCGAAGCUAACGCGAUAAGCAAUCCGCCUGGGGAGUACGGUCGCAAGGCUGAAACUCAAAGGAAUUGACGG
rnacentral:rRNA from 1 species